GACGAGAUCUCGGCGAUCGCCGCCGUCAAGCGGCUCGACACGCUGCCGCGCGAGAAGGUGCGCGGCGCGUUCGAAUCGCGCUUCUCGUCG
rnacentral:tRNA from 1 species